rnacentral:lncRNA from 1 species
GGGGUCUGCAUCUUGUGAGUGAGCACAAGCCCUGGCACAGAGGGAAUGCUUGCUUAGCAUUUGUGGAAUGGAGGGCCAGAUGCUUGGAUGAAAUGCACACACACAGUGGCCAUGAAUCUUAAGAAGCGUCAGUGGCUAGAAAGAAGAUGGUGUAAAUUUUAUCCCCCUCCCUGUUUCUGACAGAAUAUCCUCCUCUUCUGGUAACAGGUUUUGAGACGAAACAUGGCACGAGUCUCUCAGAACCCUGCUUGAGCAGAGCAGUUACAUUAUAUUCCACAAGUCAUAAAUAUUUGGGGAGCAAAAUCGAUUCCUGCAGCAGUGGUGGAGGGAUGAGUGAUUGCUGUACUUUGAUACAAGUCAUCUACCUCGUGGCCAGCUGAGGUGGAUUAAAGUCUUCCCAGGAGGUAGGGCUUAAUCUCUGGCCAUAGGGCUCCUGGAAUGGCCAUAGAGGGUAGUCAGUGUGGGCUACUGUCCUUCUGGUCCCUGCCAGAGGUCAAGGCUGACAGGCACAGGAACAAUUCCUUCAAGGCCUGAUGGCCCAGAAAAUAAAGUUUGACUCCUUCAUUUGGCCGCGGGAGUGUCUUCGCUGCACACAGCAGCUGAGCUCAGUCGGGAAUGCUCAUUCAGGCUCCCUGCCUGUGGGUAACCUGGACUCUAUCCUGGUCUCUCCAUGUUUGCUGUGUGAGCUGUGAGCCCUGAAUAGGAUGCAGAGCAGAAGCCCCCUGCCUUUAGUUUCCUCUUAGCCUAUCUACAAUUCUUCCCUGCCUGGAAAGGGUGUUCGGAACAGGCCUCUCACCAUCUGCUUCUUUUACCUGUUUUACUCUCCCUUUCUCCUACUCAUGGAGGGUGGAAUUUCUACUUCCAGUUUCUAUUUAAAAGGGAUUUUCCCAUAUGCCAUUUCUACUCCAUCCUUUCCUCCCACCAUGAUGACUGGCUGGCUGCUGAGAAACAUGAUUUAUGCAGGAGAGGGUGAUAAACACAUAGUUUAAUGUUUUCUAAAUAUGAACCUUGUUUUUCUCAUUUUAUCUACAAGCAUGUGUGACUGUGGUGUGCAUAAAACUGUGUCAACAAUGGUUUCUUUCCUUGAGGAGCUCACAUUUACAAAGAAAGGAAGAAAUUUCAACCAAAAAAUAAAAAACACCAAACCUGAAAGGAAAAUCAACAGCAAGAGCCUGGACUUUCUAAACUAGGAGGAAGGCAGAGCUCCAGGAGACUCUUCUCAUUUCUCUGAGGGCAUGGAAACUCCAAUGUGGAAUAGAGCUUGGAGUUUAAAAAGAUAGUCUCUUCUGUGUCCUGGAUAGAGACCACACCAAAGGUUUGCAAUAUAGAGGCACAACAAUCAAAAUCAUGAAUUGAGAUGUCCUUGACAUUCCAUUGUCAAGGGGAAUUAUUGCUUCCCUUGCAUUAAAGACAUUGUUGCCAAUGCAUAUUCUAUAAUGUACCUUUCUUUCCUAACAAAGAUUCCAGUUCAAUCUGCAUUUUCCUAUAGCUCAAAGUUUGCACUUUCAUUUAACCUAAUAAACAUCUGACCUUCCCAAGGGAAAUAUAAACAAAAUCUUGACUUUCAAGUAUUGUGGUCAUUCUUGGUGGAGACAUGCACUGGAUCAUCAUAUCAACCUUGACUAUUAUUUCCUAUGACACACCAGAUUAGCUGGUUUACAGUUAAUUCAGCCAGUUACAAAUUCUUCAUAGGUAAGAGUUUAGCUUUUAAUCUGAUGCCA